GACGAACGCUGGCGGCGUGCUUAAUACAUGCAAGUCGAAAGGAGUUAAGGGUUUCGGCCUUUAAAUUAGUGGCGAACGGGUGAGUAACGCGUGAAUAACCUGACUCAAAGAGGGGGAUAACAACGGGAAAAUGUUGCUAAUACCGCAUGAGACCACAACACCGCAUGAUGAAGGGGUCAAAGAUUUAUCGCUUUGAGAGGGGUUCGCGUCCCAUUAGGUAGUUGGAGGGGUAACGGCCCACCAAGCCAACGAUGGGUAGCCGAGGUGAGAGGGUGAUUGGCCACACUGGAAAUGAGACACGGUCCAGACUCCUACGGGAGGCAGCAGUAGGGAAUAUUGGGCAAAGGGCGCAAGCCUGACCCAGCAACGCCGCGUGAGGGAAGAAGGUUUUUGGAUUGUAAACCUUUGUCCUAUGUGACGAAGGAAGUGACGGUAGCCUAGGAGGAAGCCCCGGCUAAAUACGUGCCAG
rnacentral:rRNA from 1 species